AUUGAAAGAUAUUUGCCUUUACUUCCGUUUUUCCAGGCUACCAGCUCUUCACUUUAACGGACCGUAAAAGGUACAAGACUGACAGCACUGGAAAUGGAAGGCCUCUAAUUUAUCCUAAAAUGUAUACCGCUUUUAUCAAAGGUAAGAGUAAUGCGAGGCCCCUCUUUCAUGCUUGUAUUGUGUCUCAGUUUUGGAAACA
rnacentral:lncRNA from 1 species